rnacentral:misc_RNA from 1 species
UCAAACUUGGUCAUUUAGAGGAAGUAAAAGUCGUAACAAGGUUUCCGUAGGUGAACCUGCGGAAGGAUCAUUAAUGAAUUUGGGCACUCGAAAGAGGCCCGACCUUCAUCUUUCCACCCUGUGCACUAUUAUCCAUAUUGUUCUUUGCUACCCAGUCGCUAGUUGUCUUUGUUGGCAGCUCUCGGCACUACAACGGGGCAGGAAUGAUUCAUUUUUUAAACACUACACAAAGUCAAAGAAUGUUGUAACAAACUACAAACCAAAUAAAACUUUCAACAACGGAUCUCUUGGCUCUCGCAUCGAUGAAGAACGCAGC